GAUGAACGCUGGCGGCGUGCCUAAUACAUGCAAGUCGAGCGAACGGACGAGAAGCUUGCUUCUCUGAUGUUAGCGGCGGACGGGUGAGUAACACGUGGAUAACCUACCUAUAAGACUGGGAUAACUUCGGGAAACCGGAGCUAAUACCGGAUAAUAUUUUGAACCGCAUGGUUCAAAAGUGAAAGACGGUCUUGCUGUCACUUAUAGAUGGAUCCGCGCUGCAUUAGCUAGUUGGUAAGGUAACGGCUUACCAAGGCAACGAUGCAUAGCCGACCUGAGAGGGUGAUCGGCCACACUGGAACUGAGACACGGUCCAGACUCCUACGGGAGGCAGCAGUAGGGAAUCUUCCGCAAUGGGCGAAAGCCUGACGGAGCAACGCCGCGUGAGUGAUGAAGGUCUUCGGAUCGUAAAACUCUGUUAUUAGGGAAGAAAAUAUGUGUAAGUAACUGUGCACGUCUUGACGGUACCUAAUCAGAAAGCCACGGCUAACUACGUG
rnacentral:rRNA from 1 species